rnacentral:rRNA from 1 species
GACGAACGCUGGCGGCGUGCUUAACACAUGCAAGUCGAACGGAAAGGCCCUGCUUUUGUGGGGUGCUCGAGUGGCGAACGGGUGAGUAACACGUGAGUAACCUGCCCUUGACUUUGGGAUAACUUCAGGAAACUGGGGCUAAUACCGGAUAGGAGCUCCUGCUGCAUGGUGGGGGUUGGAAAGUUUCGGCGGUUGGGGAUGGACUCGCGGCUUAUCAGCGUGUUGGUGGGGUAGUGGCUUACCAAGGCUUUGACGGGUAGCCGGCCUGAGAGGGUGACCGGCCACAUUGGGACUGAGAUACGGCCCAGAGUCCUACGGGAGGCAGCAGUGGGGAAUAUUGCACAAUGGGCGGAAGCCUGAUGCAGCAACGCCGCGUGCGGGAUGACGGCCUUCGGGUUGUAAACCGCUUUCGCCUGUGACGAAGCGUGAGUGACGGUAAUGGGUAAAGAAGCACCGGCUAACUACGUG